GGAGAGAUGGCAGAGUGGUCUAUUGCGCACGCCUGGAAAGCGUGUGUUGUUAAAAGCAACCGAGAGUUCGAAUCUCUCUCUCUCCGCCA
rnacentral:tRNA from 1 species